rnacentral:rRNA from 1 species
GAUGAACGCUGGCGGCGUGCCUAAUACAUGCAAGUCGAGCGAACAGACGAGGAGCUUGCUCCUCUGACGUUAGCGGCGGACGGGUGAGUAACACGUGGAUAACCUACCUAUAAUACUGGGAUAACUUCGGGAAACCGGAGCUAAUACCGGAUAAUAUAUUGAACCGCAUGGUUCAAUAGUGAAAGACGGUUUUGCUGUCUCUUAUAGAUGGAUCCGCGCCGCAUUAGCUAGUUGGUAAGGUAACGGCUUACCAAGGCAACGAUGCGUGGCCGACCUGAGAGGGUGAUCGGCCACACUGGGACUGAGACACGGUCCAGACUCCUACGGGAGGCAGCAGUAGGGAAUCUUCCGCAAUGGGCGAGAGCCUGACGGAGCAACGCCGCGUGAGUGAUGAAGGUCUUCGGGUCGUAAAACUCUGUUAUGAGGGAAGAACAAAUGUGUAAGUAACUAUGCACGUCUUGACGGUACAUAAUCAGAAAGCCACGGCUAACUACGUG